rnacentral:ncRNA from 1 species
GAAAAAGCGAUGAUGGAACAAAGACGAUGCUAGUCUACAGAGAGCCGGUGGUUGGUGCAAACCGGUGACGAACAGAACUCUUUAGCGCUCCUGAGAUAUUGUAUCGAAGUUAAGUAGAUGCAAUCGGAUCACUCCGUUACCAGUGUGGCCUAUGCAGGCCAUUGAGGCUGCUUCUGACAAGGAGCAGUGAAUUAGGGUGGUACCACGACAACUCUCGUCCCUUAC